UUCCCCUUGACAAAAACUUCAUGCAAAUGGGAGGUUUUACUCCGGCUAGAGCAAGUAUCGAACUAGGCAAAGUCCAUAUCCCAUCCCCACAAAUCAAACCAGAAGCCACUGCUGGCCCAAAAGCAUCUGCCUUUGCGUUGUCAAUCUUUUCCCAGAUAAAUAGAAUCAAGCUUCCCACACACAUGUCGAUGGCAAAGUAUGAGCCAAUCUAGAAAGGUAUAGCCAUUGCCAUUGGAUUGGGAAUGAAACUAGCCCGUUUCUUACCCAUGGCAUCCUUGAUCAAAUUUAUCAGAAUAGCUGCACCGAAGAACCAAUAACAAAGAUAGAGGCAAUUCUUUGGUAGAGAUGAGAAUCCUUCUACCCCCAAUAUAGCCAUGUUUCGAAAUACAGUAGCACAAGGAGCAGGGUAUUGACUUCCAGGAGUCCCCAGAUCCUUGAAGGCCUUAAAAAAAGGCCAAAAUACACACGGGGAAAUCAUGCAACCCAUUGCAGUGCCAAUUAGUUGGCUCACAAACAUGGACCGAGGUCAAGAAAGGGUCAAAUAACCAGUCUUGAAAUUGAAUGCUGAUAUAGGUUGUAAAGUCUACCUUUCGAAGAGGCACCACCGAAAAGAGUCCAAGAAAGCUAAAAACAAACAAAAAGCCAAUCAUCCAAGACAGAGAUGGAUUUUUAAAGGCAUCACUAUCUUCAGUUAAUUGUUUGGCCACGGUUUCACUUAUUCCAAACAGAUAACUCCCAAAGCCUCCUAUUAUAAGGAAACAAGGAAAAAAUUAUAGAAUGGAAACCAUUAGCACAAAAAUCAACAAGUUUAAUAGCAUCAUAAGCAUAAUCACAAAUUAGCCGUUUCAUUACAAUAAUUAAUUCAGUUUCGAAACAAGUUUGGCAAGUAAUCAGACUUUUCUUGACUAUUUGGAUAAGUUAGAAAUAUAAUGUAUUCAUCUUGACAUUAUGUUAAUGAUUCACAGUUAGAGAAGAGGUUUGAUUAAUAACGCAAGCUCACAACUAGCAUUCUAGAAACAGAUAUUAUUCACAUUUUCCUUUCUUUUACUGAUGGAGAAGACUUCUUUUUCCACAAAUCAGAAUAUUGUUAUAAGACUUCCUGAUAUAAAUCUGAACUUAGCAAGUCAUCCAUAUCCAGAGCAUAUGAAUUGAAUUGUCAAAAAAGUAUCUGUCAAGUGACAUACCAGCUGCACCCCUAACAUUAUCACACUCCAGGAGAAAGAGAUAGAUUUGUUCAUGUCUCUAAUGGUAAGUUCAAGUGUUGAUUAGUUUAGUAAAACUUCACAUGUGGUAGUCAUAAAGCCUCAAUUUUGAUUUGUCUCUCAAAGACUUUAGGCAGUAAGAGAUUCUUUGUCUUCAAGGAUCAUGCAAAUCUACUCGCAUCUGAGAUCAAACGGAUCCAGAGAGAGCAAUGUAAUCUAGCAAUUAGAAGAUGGAAAUCUUGACAUUGAAUUUUAGUAACUAUUGUAAGUUUGCAACCUUUAAGAACAGAAACAAAACCAAAUGCACAGAAAUAUUAAUAUCUUGAUCAAAGAAACCUAGAUAUCUCCUCAACUUCGAAAGAAAAGAGAAAAAAAAAAUUGAAUUUCAAAAUAAUUAAGAGAGAUGAAAUGAAAAUUAAUGGCAGUAAACAGUACAGAAAGUAUACCACUAAAGGCAAUGCCAGAGGAGGAAACCACGCAAGUCUGUAUUACAGUGUUCUCUUGCCUCGUAAAGGGUUGCUUGAAAAGUCCAGACUUUUCAAGAAACUUUGUCCAGGUCUUGAUAAAAAAGAAGCCCAGAAGGCCAGCAGAGACAUUGAGGGAAGGUAUUGUUGGUGGGAGAAACCACUAGUGGUGGCUCUGAUAUCUGUUGUUGGGGAUUCUGCUCCCCCUGUGGAACGGUGGUGUUCAUGAUUAUUACUCAAAGGAGGCUAAGCACACUGACAUAAUAUUUAACAUGGUUCGGCAAAUCGCCUACAUCCACGGGAGAGAUCGAUAUUAUUAGAGAUAGAGAAAGAAUACAACACACGGAGGAGGAUCACAUCCACUCAACUCCCAUCUCUCAUUGCUACAUAGGGCAGCAGAGCUGCUGGUGGCAGCCCUUCUCUUUCUUUCUCUCUUCUUCUAUCUUUUGUUCUUGCUCUCUCUCUUUGUGGUGCACUCUUGGUGUCUAUUUAUAGGCUUCAAUGACAGCUCCUUUUGCUCCUUUGUCAGCAAUGGUGGCUGUCAAACUUACCAAACUUUGACAUUAGACAAUGGUUGUUGGCUGCCACCAACAACCCACCAUUGUAGCCUCCUUCUUUGACAAUGUCAAGGGGCUGCAAAUGCUGCACCAGCAACCCUCUUUGACUCUCACAUGGACAAUGACAGCCACAUAAUUGGCAAUAUUCCAACAAUCACCCUCUUUGCCAUUUAUGUGGGCAAUUUGUCCUCUUGCUUCUUCAGCACACUCUUUCCUGCAGCUCUUCCAAGCUUACCAUUCUGAGAACAUCUUUGGCCAAGUUUACAUGUACUUGCCAAACCUUUCAAUCACCAGAGUCACCAAAGCACACCUUUUCUCACACAAAAAGAUCACUACAAUCAGAUGGUCUGUCACAUCACAUCUGAAGAGUGUUAACGCUUGUCUCUGGGAUAACAUUCCCCUUCGAGCGUAUCAACCAUGCUCAAUCAGGAAUGAUUUAUCAAGCCUCACAUCAAGGCUUACAACACCCCCUCAAAUGGAAAUAUCUAUUUCCGAGUGCGACAGUCAUUAUUUGAGUAUUUCAAUGUGAUCAUGAGCUCACCACUCUUUCAAGAGUCUACUCAUCCCGGAGUUGCGUUUGCCCUCUGUUCCACUCUAGGAACCACGCCUUACAUCUCCGUGAGUCUCUCGCUCUUAGUUCUAAGAGUCCAGGUAGCUCUCCACCUUUAACCAUGGUGACAGCCCAUUAAAGGUUGAUCCAUAUCUGUCUUCAUACUCUGAGUAUUACAAUGCCAUUACCGAGCUCACUACCUUGAGUCAACUUGUUCUCGAAACCUGCGCAUGUCCUCUGCUCAUUCCUAGCAAUCGCGUCUUAAUGCUCCACAAGUCAUCCACUUAUUGUCCAAGGCAAAUAUUAUCUAGCUCAUUGAUCUUUAGCCUAAGGGCAAUGAAAGUCAAUCCUGCAUUUGUAUCCAUACUCAUCAUAGCCACUUCAUUGGCUAGACACCUGUUCACUCAUAUCCAACCAUCACAUUGGCUCUAGGGCAUUCUAAACUGGGCUCAUAUCGUGGCCCAUACACCUUCUCUAUGGUGUCUUCGCCUGUUGUCAUAAGGCGGUCCGAUAUUGGGCUCAUAUCAUGGCCUUCACACCUUCUUCAAGGUGUCUUCGCCCGUUGUCAUGGGGCGGUCUGAUUCGGGUCGGGUCUGCCAUUCGAGCGAAGAGGACGCGUGGCUCGCGUGUGGCGCGUUGGUGCGCGUGGCAGCCUCCUCUCCGGCACGUGCUGGCGCGUGCGGGCAUGUCCCACUUCAGAAUUUUGAGCCAUUUUCACCAAUGGCUUCGUCUCUUUCUCCUCUACACAGUGGUAUGGUCAAAACAUAAUUUUGACAACUUUUAUUUUUGAGCAAAAAUCAAACACCACUUUAAACCAUAAGCUCUGAUACCAAUUUGUUGAUGGGAGAAACCACUAGUGGUGGCUCUGAUAUCAAUUGUUGGGGAUUUCUGCUCCCCCUUGCGGAACGGUGGUGUUCAUGAUCAUUGCUCAAAGGAGGCUAAGUACACUGACACAAUAUUUAACGUGGUUCGGCAAAUCGCCUACAUCCACGGGAGAGAUCAAUAUUAUUAGAGAUAGAGGAAGAAUACAACACACGGAGGAGGAUCACAUCUACUCAACUCCCAUCUCUCAUUGCUACAUAGGGCAGCAGAGCUGCUGGUGGCAGCCCUUCUCUUUCUUUCUCUCUUCUUCUCUCUUUUGUUCUUGCUCUCUCUCUUUAUGGUGCACUCUUGGUGUCUAUUUUAUAGGCUUCAAUGACAUCUCCUCUUGCUCCUUUGUCAACAAUGAUGGCUGCCAAACUUACCAAACUUUGACAUUAGACAAUGGUUGUUGGCUGCCACCAACAACCCACCAUUGUAGCCUCCUUCUUUGACAAUGUCACGGGGCUGCAAAUGCUGCACCAGCAACCCUCUUUGACUCUCACAUGGACAAUGGCAGCCACAUAAUUGGCAAUAUUCCAACAGGUAUGAUACCAGUUGUAAGGUUGAGCUUCAUUACUAUGACGCAGAACAAAAUGCUCAACACGAAGCUCACCAUAAAGGCCCUCAGUGUCAGCUGAUUCCUCCAUGAUGGCACUUCUUGGUUCUCAAAUAUUCUUUCCACUUACAACUCUUCUUCUUGUUCCUCUUUCUUGUCCUUCUUUCUAUAACCAUGAUCAUCCUCCAAAUUAUAACCAUUCUCUACCUUGGUGUCGUCUCUUUCAUUACAUUCCAUUUUAUUUUCUUAAAAGAAUGAUUCUUUAUGGAGACGAAGAAAGUUGGGAGCGUGUUUAAUAAGUGGUUGUGAUUAUUGCUCAACACAUCACAGGCGAAUUGAAGACGAUGAACAUGAGGAGGAGUUAAAACGGGUUGUUGUCGUGAGUUUUAACCUGUCUGUUUUUUUUAAUUAAUUGUUUUUAGUUUUAAAUUAAUUUUUUUAAUUAUUUUAAUAUGCUAAUAUUAAAAAUAAAUUUUUAAAAAUAAAAAAUAUAUUAUUUUAAUAUUUUCUUAAAAAAACUUACUUUUAAAAAUAAUAACUACUAUAUUUUUAAAGACCCUCUAGAAUAGCAAAGUGAUCCUAAAUAAUAUUUGUUUGAAUUGAGAUUGUAAUAUUUAUAUAUAUAUAUAUAUAUAUAUAUAUAUAUAUAUAUAUAUAUAUAUAUGUGGUACUUUGAAGAGGUAUACUAAAAAUAUAGUAGAAAUUGUUUUUAAAAUGAUAUAAAAAUAUAAUUUAAAUAUUUUUUAAAAUAAAAAAUAUUUUAAAAAAUAAUUAAUGCUAUAUUUUUUAAAAGUUUAAAACAACAAAGUGAUCCUAAAUCACAUGUGUUUGAGUUGAGCCUAUAAUCUUUAUAUAUAUAUAUAUAUAUAUAUAUAUAUAUAUAUAUAUAUUGUGUGGGGGUAUGUAGGUACUUAGAAGAGCUAGAUUAGAAAUGUGAUAUAAAUUGUUUUUAAAAUAAUUUAAAAAUAAAAAAAUUAAUUUUUUUAAAAUAAUUUUUUUAUUAAUGUGGGUGUCCGAGUCAGCUUGUGUAUACCUCAAUUAAUUUUAUAAAUAUUAAAAUUAACAACUAUAUAAAUCUUUAAUGAUCGUAAAAGAAUUCAAAUUCAUGAUUAUUGAAGAGUAAACCCAAAACUUGUCUCUAAUAAGCUAUCCCUUAGUUGUUGUUUUUUUUUUAAUAAAAAGGAAUGUUUUAAUCAUGUUACCAAAUGGUCACUAAAUCCCAUGCCAAAAGCUUCUAUUUCUAAUUUGUAGAAGACGAGAAGUCAAUAGUCAAUUGGCUCAUUUCCAAAAAAAAAAAAAAAGGAAAAUAAAAAAUCUGUGUAUGUCCAUUGUCCAAAGUUCGUGGAAAACAAUGGUAUAAGAAAUAUAGAAAUUGACUAGGAUGUAACGUGCGUGGAAGAUUUAAACAAUGUCCAAUUAAUUAUAUAUACGUUGGUUUUUUACUUCUCAACGUAAUUAAUCAGAGAUGAUUUUUCUAAUUACUUGUUUACUAAAUUCAUAACACAAAUCAUGCAAUCUUGCAGAGAAAUUUGUUAAGUAAAAAUAAGAUAAGCAAAUAAAAAAAAAUACGAGUUUACAAUAAAUAAUAUAAAGUUAUUUAAUUUAAACUUAUCUCUUAAAAAACAACACAGGAUCUUGCCUUACAAAGCAUAAGAUUGAAGAUGGAGAGUUGAGGAUUCUAUGAUAAUUAACUAUGAAUAUAUAUUUGCAUGGGGAAGAACGUAUGAUCCAAAUGAUAACCUCUUUAUGUACUUCACUCACUCUGGGCUUAGAUGCUAUUAAGACUACGGAAAUGCUUGUCUAUUUUUCAGCUUCUUUUCAUAUUCUUAGGACAAACUUAGAUGCCAUUAAGUCUCAUAUUCGCUGAAGCUUUUAUCGUCUUCCUUGACGCAUCUGAUAUUUUUUCCAUCUUUCUUUUUUUCUCGUGUUGGAUAACAAAGUCUGGCAUGGUUUUAUUGUGAGACUGAUAAUAACACAGCAUAUAUAAGUAAGGGGACAUUUGAUUUUCUUCUCCAGAAAAUAUUACAGAGGAAAUAGUUGUUGGCUCCACGAAAUAGUAGGUGAUUGAUUAUAUAUCCACAGCAUUUUUGAGUCGAGCUUCACAUGUAAACUUCAUAACCUUAGUCUAGGAAGCAAUUCAGCUUUACUUCACAGUUUCUAUUCAAGUUGAUCUGAACUUCAACUUUAUGACCCUAAGAACGCAUCGACCUUGGCAUUUGUUCCCCUUGACAAAAACUUCAUGCAAAUGGGAGGUUUUACUCCUACUAGAGCAAGUAUCGCACUAGGCAAAGUCCAUAUCCCAUCCCCGCAAAUCAAACCAGAAGCCACUGCUGGCCCAAAAGCAUCUGCCUUUGCCUUGUAAAUCUUUUCCCAGAUAAAUAGAAUCAAGCUUCCCACACACAUGUCGAUGGCAAAGUAUGGGCCAAUAUAGAACGGUAUAGCCAUCGCCAUUGGAUUGGGAAUGAACCUGGCCCAUUUCUUACCCAAUGCAUCCUUAAUUAAAUUUAUCAGAAUAGCUGCACCGAAGAACCCAUAACAAAGAUAGAGGCAAUUCUUUGGUAGAGACGAGAAUCCGUCUACCCCCAAUAUAGCCAUGUUUCGAUAUACAGUAGCAUAAGGAGCAGGGUAUUGACUUCCAGGAGUCCCCAGAUCCUUGAAGGCCUUGAAAAACAGCCAAAAGACACAAGGUGAAAUAAUGCAACCCAUUGCAGUGCCAAUUAGUUGGCUCACAAACAUGGACCGAGGUGAAGAAAGGGUCAAAUAACCAGUCUUGAAAUCUUGAGAUAGGUCAGAGGCUGUGGAGACAAUAUUCAUUAUCACUCCACAGGCCGCUAUAGUCCUGCAAGAACUCCACCAUGAGAGGCACCAGCCCAUGCCCCAAUUACAAAACUUGAGAGCUUCCCAUAGGUGGAAGCUAGGGACCAGUCAGUGAGGCCACAGCCAUAAGCAUUACAGAAUGCAAGGGCUGGGGCAAAGAUGUAGAUAACCGAUAUAUAAUACCAUUUGAGUUCGGGAAAUAUAUGCGGUAGCGCACUAGCGUGGCUGUAGAGAUAGCAGCGAUUGCGACAUAGCCUGCAACAGCAAACCAUGUUGGAAUUUGAUCUUUGAGAAAGAGUUGGGUGCGGCGUUGAUCAUUGUAUGAGAUCCUGGAGGGCUCGGGAGAGGAACGGUGCGCAAUAGGGAGGGCACCAGUUGCAUCUUUCCUUUGAAGUUGAAAAAACAAGACAGUGAGUGUUCGGCUUAGCACCUUGAAGAAGUUGUACAGACCGUCACCCAAGAUCAUGGCAAUGGCAAUAAAUACCUGAGUUCAUUGCAUAAGAGUUGUUAUGAAUGGAAAGGCUUCAAGAAUAGCACUCUUGUUACCUUAACCUUGUUAGAAAACUUAACUUGUAACCUUGGAGGCCAUGCAGGCUGCUAGGUUUGAGGUCUGCUGAAUACCAAUCACCCUUUUUUGUAUCUAUGAGAGGCCACAUCAGACCCCAGGAAAGAAUUCUUCCAUGGUAACUAUUUAUGUGUCCUCCUUCGCUGGUUUAGGUUACUUCCUAGCUAUUGCCAUGUUUUCUUUUCCCAAGCUUUUUGGCAUUUGUACCCUUUAAUUCUUCACCUUGCUUUCAUUUGCCAACGUUAUACUAUUAAUAAAGUUUCUUCACUUAUCUAAAAGAAAAAAAAAAGCUAGCUAAUUGUGUAUUUGCAAGUUUUUUUUAGAAGUCGACAUACUUGUUGGUUAUUAAUAUCUUGAUACAAAUAUUAAGAAUUGAAUCUUUAAACGUUUUGUAGAUACAAAUAUUAGGAAGUCGACAUACAUGUUGGUUAUUAAUAUCUUUGAUUUGCCAAUGAUAUCAUAGCCAGCAAAAUGAGCUAACCUGAUACCAAAUAUAGCAACUGAUCAUAACCUUACCAGUUUGAGUAAAAUCCAAAGAUAUUACGUACUGGUGCAAAAGUUGUGAUAACAUCAAACAGCAAAACAACAGCUGAGGAAUUGAAGGCAGGAAAGCAGCAACCCAGAAUAACAACAGCGGUCUUGGGUGUGAUUCUGGAAGGUCGUAUACGAAUAAGGAAGAAGAAACCAACAAAUAUAAUUGCAUUAUGUUCGAAAUCAACAUGCCUGCAACCUGUAAUGUUUGCACAUUCACUUUUGAUAUUAUGUUUAAAGUUCACAAAGGGUACUGUGAUUUUCCGUUUGCACAUUGUUUGAUGCAUCUGUUCCACUAUCUUCUUCAAACUAGACAAGAAAAAAACUACAAGCAUAUUUCCAAGGAUUGACUAACAUGCAUAAAUAAGUAAAUGGACAUUUGAUUUUCUUCUCCAGAAAUGAUUAUAGAGAAAAUAGUUGUUGCCUCCACAAAUAGCAGGUGAUUGAUUAUAUAUCCACAGCAUUUUUGAGUCGAGCUUCACAUGUAAACUUCAUAACCUUAGUCUGGGAAGCAAUUCAGCUCUAACUCACAGAUUCUAUUGAAGUUCAUCUGAACUUCAAAUUUAUGACCCUAAGAACGCAUCGACCUUAGCAUUUGUUCUCCUUGACAAAAACUUCAUGCAAAUGGGAGGUUUUACUCCAGCUAGAGCAAGUAUCGAACUAGGCAAAGUCCAUAUCCCAUCCCCACAAAUCAAACCAGAAGCCACUGCUGGCCCAAAAGCAUCUGCCUUUGCUUUGUCAAUAUUUCCCCAGAUAAAUAGAAUCAAGCUUCCCACACACAUGUCGAUGGCAAAGUAUGUG
rnacentral:lncRNA from 1 species